rnacentral:rRNA from 1 species
UACAGAGGGUGCGAGCGUUAAUCGGAGUUACUGGGCGUAAAGGGCGCGUAGGCGGUUGUAAGGGUGUGAUGUGAAAGCCCUGGGCUUAACCUGGGAAGUGCAUCGCAAACUACGCAACUGGAGUAUAAGAGAGGGUGGCGGAAUUUCCGGUGUAGCGGUGAAAUGCGUAGAGAUCGGAAGGAACGUCGAUGGCGAAGGCAGCCACCUGGCUUAAUACUGACGCUGAGGCGCGAAAGCGUAGGGAGCGAACAGG